AGUAUAAUUAUGCUCUGAAGAUAUACAGUUAAUGUACUUGAGUCAAAGUAAAACACAAAUACCAUAGAGAAGAGCUAUCUAGAACUUCGUUAGCAACAUCAGCUUAUCUUUUCGCUGACUCAGAAGCUUGAAGUAGCCACAACUUAUGCCUGAUUUUUAUUGUUAGAAACGAACUCAUUUUGACUAUACACUUGCUCUAAAGUAUGUUUUAACACAUGUGCCUUUCCCUGUUCGUUGUGUAAAGGAAGUGAGUAAGUAAACUGAUUCUGAACUUGUUAUUGUGCACAGUGUGCUGUUUUGUCCCAUUCUGUUACUGCCAACUCUGGACUGUUCUCUCUGUUCAGGGAGAAACCACUGUCAGCCAUCAGAUCGUGUUCUUUUCAAUAAAUAGGCAUUACCUAUUUGACAGAUUUCUCCUGAAAUAAUGAGCCCAGAAACACCCAGAUGUGUAGGGUGCUUAAUUUUUGGCUUGAUCAAAGAUGCUUAAUGUGUAUGUUACUGCAAUAAAUAUUUAGAUUUCUUUGCCCAUCCUUUUUGGAUCUACUAGUAGGCCUAGUGAUGUUAGAGGUCUUAACAAGUGGGCUAUGCAUCAGAUUUCAUUUCAAGUGAUGAGUAAAAUAUCCAGAGAUAUAUAUAAUCUGUUCUUUGUGCCCUCUAGCUUAGCACACUGAAUUCUUUGAGCCAUCUGGUGUCAAUCCGUGUGGCAAAAUGAUCAAUGAAAACAAUUUAAGAAAUGCAUCUUAUAGAUGUUUCAUAUUGUAGGUCUACAGCCUAUUGUGUCAUGGUGGUGUUAUCAUUUUUCAAACUUUAUUUUUGUGUAAUAAUUAGGCAUAUUGAUACAUAAUCAUGUUCAUGUUUUGUGCUGUCUUGCUUUGCAGAUGACAGAAUAUUGCUGAAGGAUCCUACAUGGAAGCUGGCUGAUUACACGGAGUGAUUCCUCUGGUGUGGUGUACCUCAGAGAAAUAAACACUGUUGCAAGAGCUGAGAAGAUGGCCAAGAUAUCCUUAUUGCUGGAUGGUAGCUCUGGUCGUAGUGGACCAUAUCUGCAAAUGCUUCUGAACAUUGACAGAAUUUCUAAAGAUGACUGAGAAUAUUACUGAAGGAUCCUACAUGGAAGCUGUCUGAUUACACUGAGUGAUUCCUCUGGUGUGGUGUACCUCAGAGAAAAUAAACACUGUUGCAAGAGCUGAGAAGAUAUCCUUAUUGCUGGAUGGUUGCUCUCUGGUUGUACUUGAGCCCCCUGGACCAAGUCAAGUCAAGUCAAGUCACUGCUACUGCAGCAGAUGUCGCAAGUCUUUCUCUGCCCAACGCCCCAAGGCUGUUUGCACUUGGUUCAUUCUCAGAAUAAACCCAGAGGGCUCCAAAUGCCAGGCCAAGUCCAUCACCAGCAAGAAGACCGGUAAAAAGGUGCAAAGGAAGAGCAGCAGUGUCAACCCUGUUGUUGCUUCAUUCAUCAGGGAACUUGUUGAUUUUGACUGGCUGAAUUAUUAAUGCUUGACCUUUUGAAGUUCCAAUCACUUGUUUCUUUUAAGUAGUUCAGUCCGAGCAUUGCACCAAAGGCUCGAGGCCCUGUUGUUCUUGCUGUGUUUUCCCCCCUUCUCCCCGUUUCAAAACUUAUUUGGCACAGUUUUUCGAUAUUGUGUCAUGUAUAAGACUUUUAAAAGAGUGACUCUAUUGCGCACCCUAGCACAGAGAUGUUCGGGGCUGGAAUAUAGUUAUAGUUAUAGAAUAUAGUUGAAGCUACGGACUCUGGACCUUCUUUGUGGUAUGUACUUAUCUCAUUAAGAUGAACAAAAAAAGGUCAAUACGAGCAUAUGGCCACGCCCAACAGGAAAUGAGAUAUUGGACUGUUUUCCAUUUUGCAUACAUUGGAAUUUGAAGCACCCACCACAAACCAUACAACAGUUUUGUCUUGAUUAAUGUUUGGGGUAUCUCAUUUUAAUAGAAUAGAAUCUUUUUAUUUGUCAAUGUGAAUGAAAUAAAAAAAAAGAAAAAUAUGUAUACAACUGAAGAGUUCAGAUGCAAAACCCCCUAACUCCAUUUCUGAAGACCUGCACUUUUAUAUUUUUAGAGAACCCCAUUGUUGGUUUGGUUUACAUUCAUGUACUUGAUAAUACAUAUGAAUAGUUAUAUUACAUAAAUCAAAUUUUAAAAAUGUGGAAUUUUGAUAGCUUUGUAUUAAAUAAAAAUGAAACAAGAUUAUUUUCUGAAAUGCCACUUAUGGGGUUUUGCAUCUAAACUCUUCAACUAUAUACAAAGGUUAUGGAUUGUGCAUUUGUGAGAAGCAGGACCCCCUUCCUACUGGAGUAUGUUGUUAAAUUGUUAACCAGUUUUAAUUAAACAUUUUGAUUGCAUCUCUUGCAUUUGCAGCAUUUCUUUACCUUGUAGCUUUUAAAAACUUUUUAAUGUGUUUUUGAUCUGACUGGUAACUAGAAUAUCUGAAUUAUAGGAGAAUGUGAUGCCUUUGUAGAGCUCCCUGACAUUCUCUUGCGGAAUGUUGUAAAUUAAAAUACAACAAAAAUACUGUAAAACAAACUACAGUAGUUGAAAAAGUUACUGGCAGCUGGAUGCCAUUAAAGUACUGUACUCCUUACAAUAAUUUGGAUCAGUACUGUAAAUCGAUAUACAGUAAUUGGAAUUGGUACUGUAAACUGAUAUACAGUAAUUUGAAUGUUACUGGCAGCUGGAUGCCAGUAAAGUACUGUACUCCUUACAGUAGUUUGGAUUGGUACUGUAAACUGACAUACAGUACUUUAGAUUGGUACUGUAACUGGAUUAACAGUAGUGCUGAUUGGUACUGUAAACCAAUAUACAGUAAGGGUACUGUAAAUUAUAUUACAGUAAUUUAUUGGCAUCCAGCUGCCAGUAAGUUACUGUA